rnacentral:rRNA from 1 species
ACGAACGCUGGCGGCGUGCCUAACACAUGCAAGUCAACUUGAGGGAAGGAGCAAUCUGACCUGAUGGUGGUGCAAGGGUGCGUAACGCGUAAGUAACUUGCCCCAAGGUAAGGAAUAACGUCGAGAAAUCGGCGCUAAUACCUCAUAAUGCAGCGGAUCCGCAUGGAUAUGUUGUUAAAGGUUUACCGCCUUGGGAUAGGCUUGCGUCUGAUUAGCUAGUUGGUGUGGUAAUGGCACACCAAGGCUACGAUCAGUAACUGGUCUGAGAGGAUGAUCAGUCACACUGGAACUGAGACACGGUCCAGACUCCUACGGGAGGCAGCAGUGAGGAAUAUUGGGCAAUGCACGAAAGUGUGACCCAGCAACGCCGCGUGGAGGAUGAAGGUAUUCUAUAUCGUAAACUCCUGUGAGAGCAGACGAAAGACAGAUUAUUAAUUUGGAUGACUGUAUGCUCAGAGGAAGCCCCGGCUAACUACGUG